rnacentral:rRNA from 1 species
UACGUAGGGGGCAAGCGUUAUCCGGAUUUACUGGGUGUAAAGGGCGUGCAGCCGGGCUGACAAGUCAGAUGUGAAAUCCCGCGGCUCAACCGCGGAACUGCACUUGAAACUGUCAGUCUUGAGUACCGGAGAGGUCAUCGGAAUUCCUUGUGUAGCGGUGAAAUGCGUAGAUAUAAGGAAGAACACCAGUGGCGAAGGCGGAUGACUGGACGGCAACUGACGGUGAGGCGCGAAAGCGUGGGGAGCAAACAGG